AGUGAACGCUGGCGGUAGGCCUAACACAUGCAAGUCGAACGGCAGCACAGUAAGAGCUUGCUCUUACGGGUGGCGAGUGGCGGACGGGUGAGGAAUACAUCGGAAUCUACUUUUUCGUGGGGGAUAACGUAGGGAAACUUACGCUAAUACCGCAUACGACCUACGGGUGAAAGCAGGGGAUCUUCGGACCUUGCGCGAUUGAAUGAGCCGAUGUCGGAUUAGCUAGUUGGCGGGGUAAAGGCCCACCAAGGCGACGAUCCGUAGCUGGUCUGAGAGGAUGAUCAGCCACACUGGAACUGAGACACGGUCCAGACUCCUACGGGAGGUCGCAGUCGGCAAUAUUGGACAAUGGGCGCGAGCCUGAUCCAGCCAUAGCGCGUGGGUGCAGAAAGCCUUCGGGUUGUAAAGACCUUUUGUUGGGAAAGAAACGCAGCAGGUUAAGACCCCGCUGUUCUGACGGUACCCAAAGAAUAAGCACCGGCUAACUUCGUG
rnacentral:rRNA from 1 species